UACGAAGGGGGCUAGCGUUGCUCGGAAUUGCUGGGCGUAAAGCGCACGUAGGCGGAUUGUUAAGUCGGGGGUGAAAUCCUGGAGCUCAACUCCAGAACUGCCUUCGAUACUGGCGAUCUCGAGUUCGGGAGAGGUGAGUGGAACUGCGAGUGUAGAGGUGAAAUUCGUAGAUAUUCGCAAGAACACCAGUGGCGAAGGCGGCUCACUGGCCCGAUACUGACGCUGAGGUGCGAAAGCGUGGGGAGCAAACAGG
rnacentral:rRNA from 1 species